GACGAACGCUGGCGGCGUGCCUAAUACAUGCAAGUCGAGCGAUGAUUAAAGAUAGCUUGCUAUUUUUAUGAAGAGCGGCGAACGGGUGAGUAACGCGUGGGAAAUCUGCCGAGUAGCGGGGGACAACGUUUGGAAACGAACGCUAAUACCGCAUAACAAUGAGAAUCGCAUGAUUCUUAUUUGAAAGAAGCAAUUGCUUCACUACUUGAUGAUCCCGCGUUGUAUUAGCUAGUUGGUAGUGUAAAGGACUACCAAGGCGAUGAUACAUAGCCGACCUGAGAGGGUGAUCGGCCACACUGGGACUGAGACACGGCCCAGACUCCUACGGGAGGCAGCAGUAGGGAAUCUUCGGCAAUGGGGGCAACCCUGACCGAGCAACGCCGCGUGAGUGAAGAAGGUUUUCGGAUCGUAAAACUCUGUUGUUAGAGAAGAACGUUAAGUAGAGUGGAAAAUUACUUAAGUGACGGUAUCUAACCAGGAAGGGACGGCUAACUACGUGCCAGCCGCCGCGUAA
rnacentral:rRNA from 1 species